UCUCUAGGGUUUUCAACAUCUAUUUUUCAAAUGGGUCCAAAUAUAGUGACUGAAGUUCUACUGACUUAUGCAUUCUCUCUUUCUACAGAUGAAUGGCCUCUCAUUGGGAAAAUAGUCCUUGCAAUAAUUUUACUCUUGGGUGUAGCAGCCUUCAUACUCCUCCUCCAUGGUGUUUGGUGAGUAUGUCAUUAACUAAAUUGCGUGUUGUAUUACAAUGGAAUCUCAGGGAACAUAGGGUUUGAUUGGUCUCACCAUUUCUAUCAUCUUCUGUUUAACAGGCAAGUGAUAAAAAGCCAGAAAGAAGAGGAAGAGUGGCAGGAGAAGCUACAGAGCACAACAAUUAACUUGGAAUCUCCUGACGAGAAACAUACCGUCAUCUAUGUGCCUGGACUGGUUGAUUUACCUAAAACCGCAAAUACUGAAAUAAUAGCAGAAGCGGUUAAGGCUGGGGAAAAGAUACCUCAAAGCGAUGAAAAAGAAAAUAAUCCCAGUCCUGUGAAUAUUGAAGUGUCACACGAACAGAUUACUGAGCCGCAGGUCACUGAGCCAAAGGAGGGGCUUCAAGUAAAAGAUGCUGUUGGCACCAUAAAAGGAAAGAAAAAGAAACGUCGACUUUUCUCUUUUUCAAAGAAAAAAGUUAAAGAAGCUGAUGAAAAGCAAAAGAAUGCAGAGGAAAAAAAAUGUCCUGAUGUAAAAGACAAUGAUGUUGAAAUAGAUCUAGAGAAAGGAAAAGUAGAUGAAGUUGAAGAUAAGAAGAAGAAGAAAAGAUGGCGAUUUUUUGAUUUUUUUUAACAAAAAAGCAAAAAAAGAAAACGGAACAGAAAAGUUAGAGGUCUAAAGGAUAUGGCACAUGGCAAUUUGUAUUCCUUAUUUCUUUCCAAGUUUGUAAUAAUGUGGACAACAUGAAAUAAAAAAUAACAUUUAUAAAAAAAUCCACCGAGUUUGAUUUUGU